UACGUAGGGGGCAAGCGUUUGUCCGGAAUCAUUGGGCGUAAAGAGCGUGUAGGCGGCUCGAUAAGUCUGCUGUGAAAGUCCAGGGCUCAACCCUGGAAGGCCGGUGGAAACUGUCGGGCUAGAGUCCGGAAGAGGCGAGUGGAAUUCCUGGUGUAGCGGUGAAAUGCGCAGAUAUCAGGAGGAACACCAAUGGCGAAGGCAGCUCGCUGGGACGGUACUGACGCUGAGACGCGAAAGCGUGGGGAGCAAACAGG
rnacentral:rRNA from 1 species